rnacentral:rRNA from 1 species
CCUACGGGUGGCAGCAGUGAGGAAUAUUUGUCAAUGGACGAGAGUCUGAUCCUGCCAAGUAGCGUGAAGGAUGGCUGCCCUAUGGGUUGUAAACUUCUGUUAUAUGGGAAUAAAUUGUUCCACGAGUAGGAUUUUUUAUGUACCAUAUGAAUAAGGUUCGGCUAACUCCGUGCCAGCAGCCGCGGUAAUACGGAGGCUCCAAGAGUGAUCGGGAUUUGUUGGGUUUAAAGGGAGCGUAGGUGGAUUGGUAAGUCAGUUGUGAAAGUUGGCGGCUCAACCGUAAAAUUGCAGUUGAAACUGGCAGUCUUGAGUAAAGUAGAGGUGAGCGGAAUUCGUGGUGUAGCGGUGAAAUGCUUAGAUAUCACGAAGAACUCCGAUUGCGAAGGCAGCUCACUGGACUGCAACUGACACUGAGGCUCGAAAGUGAGGGGAUCAAACAGGAUUAGAUACCCGUGUAGUC